UACGGAGGGUGCAAGCGUUAAUCGGAAUUACUGGGCGUAAAGCGCGCGUAGGUGGCUUGAUAAGCCGGUUGUGAAAGCCCCGGGCUCAACCUGGGAACGGCAUCCGGAACUGUCAAGCUAGAGUGCAGGAGAGGAAGGUAGAAUUCCCGGUGUAGCGGUGAAAUGCGUAGAGAUCGGGAGGAAUACCAGUGGCGAAGGCGGCCUUCUGGACUGACACUGACACUGAGGUGCGAAAGCUAGGGUCUCGAACCGG
rnacentral:misc_RNA from 1 species